UGUGUGAACUCUCAAUAUGCUGUUUUCCUCAACCUCCUGCGGUAAUUUCUGCUGCCACCCCUUCCUUUUGGAGGACUUCUGGUGCAGGGCUCAGUGCUGUCUUCAUGAGGAGCCGCCGGCACCCUCUUCUUUCUGCAAGUGAGCCGCAUCUAUUCAGAGAAGGCCAGGGUGUGCAUAUGUUGGCGGCACGGUUGGUGAUGUAAUUUUGGUGCCCACGUCAGUCAUUCUCAGGUGCUUCCAGCAGUGCAGAGCUUGUCCUGCCCAGCUUCAGUGUAAACGAGCGGUGCAUAAUGACUAUCUAGAUCUGCCUUCUGUUUCCCCACAUGACUGCAGGUCGAUGCAUUCCUAAUCACUACCCUUCCUGCUCUGUCUCUCUCUCAUCACUGACCACAAAUAUAAGUUGGUUAAAACA